GGGCGUUUUGCAUGAAAGGGGGCGCGGGAGCAGCUGCUCCGCGAGGACGGUGGGGAACCCGGCGAACCGGGGCGGUUGCGGUUUGGGUGGAGAAACGGCCGGUUUGGGGCGCUCGCCCUGCCGCCGUUUUCGGUUUCGCGCCCCCCCCCCCCCCUUCUGCCGCUGAAUGGGGAGUUUGGGCCAAAAAAAAUGAGAUUUUGGGGUGUUUUUUGGACAAAGUCGAGGUUUCGGGGGUGUUUUGGCGGAAAACCGCCGCCGCCGAGGGGCGGUUUGGGGGCAAAAAGGGGCCUUUUUGGGGAAAACCGGGCGUUUUGGCGGCGGCGGAGCAGGUUCGGCGGGUGAAACGCGGGUUUUGUGCGUUAAGAAGGUUUUGCAGCAGAUCGGUUCGUCCGCAGGUGGAAAAGGGGCGGGGGGGUAGUUUUGCGGGGAAAAGGGGCGAUUUCUGCGGGAGAAGGGCGCGCUGGGGCGGUCGGCGGGCAGAGCGGCUGCGGCGGGGGCUCGGCGCCCCGCGCCCCUUUUCCUGCCCUCCUCGCGGAGCAGGCGCAAAAUAGGCAGCGUUGCCCCGAGCGGCCGCUUUUGGGCGGAAACGGCUCGGUUUUGGGGGCAGUUGCUUGAUCGUUUUGCAGGAACCUCCCCCCCCCACCACCACCCAGGGGCUUGACCAAAAGCGGAAGAUUUUGCCACGAAAAAUGAGAAUUCAGGCAGUUUUGCAACGUUGACACAAGCAUUUUAUUACAAAAAUAA